UACGUAGGGGGCAAGCGUUGUCCGGAUUUAUUGGGCGUAAAGAGCGUGUAGGCGGCCAUACAGGUCAGCUGUGAAAACUCGAGGCUCAACCUCGAGACGUCGGUUGAAACCGUAUGGCUAGAGUCCGGAAGAGGAGAGUGGAAUUUCGUGUGUAGGGGUGAAAUCCGUAAUAUACGAAGGAACGCCAAAAGCGAAGGCAGCUCUCUGGGUCCCUACCGACGCUGGGGUGCGAAAGCAUGGGAGCGAACAGG
rnacentral:rRNA from 1 species